rnacentral:rRNA from 1 species
GACGAACCGUCCAAACGUUAUUCGGUAUCACUGGGCUUAAAGAGUUCGUAGGCGGCUAAACAGGUGAGGUGUGAAAGCCCUCGGCUCAACCGAGGAACUGCGCUUCAAACCGUUUAGCUAGAGGAAGACAGAGGUGAGCGGAACUGAUGGUGGAGCGGUGAAAUGCGUUGAUAUCAUCAGGAACACCGGUGGCGAAAGCGGCUCACUGGGUCUUUUCUGACGCUGAGGAACGAAAGCUAGGGGAGCGAACGGGAUUAGAUACCCCGGUAGUCCUAGCCGUAAACGAUGAGCACUAGACUGUGGGGACCCUCACAUCCUCUCGGUCGUAGCGAAAGUGUUAAGUGCUCCGCCUGGGGAGUAUGGUCGCAAGGCUGAA